CUUUCUCGAGAAAAAACAUGAUCUCGAUCUCGUCCGCCCGUCGGAGUCGACACCAACGGCGGCGCUGCUUCUCGAGGACCCCGCGGCCGAGCCCCGUCCACUCGCUCCCUGUGCCUUUGCCUCAACGUGCGCCUCCGCAAGCCGUCGCUCCCGCCACCACCUUCCCUACCGUGUGCACCCCGAGCGACACCCUCGAAUCCUCUACAGGCGCCCACCCUCACGCCGGCCCCAAACCCUGCCAGUAUCCUAACUAGAUGUCCUCUCUAGAACGAGCGGUCGGCGAGGAUGCUGGUGAUACACGGGGCCUGCUCGAGAAUUUCCAGGUUGAGCUAGUUGCGGUUGUCCCACCGGCAGACCAUCUUGUCAUUGUAGUGCUGCUCUUUGUGACAGGGCAUGAGCAGGAUGUCGGCACGAACCUCGUCCAGACAACGGCGGAUGGUCUUCAGGAAUCCUGUGGCUGCAACAUAGGACGAUGGUAGGAGGUGGAUUCACAUGCCCCCUUGGGCGCCUCUCCACCGCUGCACCCCAUUUCCCUUCCUAAGGUUGUGUUUUAUUUCACAUUGAUCAAUUUGUGGGGAGCAGGCCCAUAUGUAGCAAGGAGCAAGCUGCACAAGAAAUUAAUUGGAAUCAAGAUACUCAUCUUUAAUUUAAUAGUAAGGGGUUGAGACUUGGACAAACAAGAACAAGAACAAUUUAUUAUCAAGAUAUCUGCUUUGCAAAUCUACGACGAGAUCGUCAAGGAUCUUCUACGGCCUGAUUCUGGCCCCCUUCGCUUGUUAGAUAAUCCUGAGGUUUGCAACAGAAAGGAACCAUCGUGGACAAGUUGGAUGAAGGAAUCGCCAAGGACAGCCAGUAUCUAAGGCAUCUAAUAGCCAUUUGUGAAGGCACUGCUACAUAUGCAUAACAAAGACAUCUUGGUGAAACUGCACUAAGUGACACAAGUACACGUUCCCACCAAAUCAUUAGGUUGUUUAUAUCUAUAUCCAGACUGUGGAGAGUAUGCUCCAUGAAGCGCCAGGUCGUGUUAUAUCUUUUAUUACUAACUUGAAUUUCGUUGACCUUGCUUGAAGCGAGCGUGCUGCACAAACACAUGCUGUUAGUGCAAGGUUGAAAGAAGGCGCCAUAUUAAUCGCAGCUUGUUGACUUUGACUACUUUCAUCAGAAAGCUCAGAGAAGAUAAGUUUCAAAUCAUAGGAUCCUCUGAUGACAUUUCUGCCAUACAAGCAAUAAGCUUUGAAGUCCGUAAUGUCAACUAUUGAGUAGCAACUAGGAAGAAUUAAGUGGCAAUGAACCUCUCUGAUAAUGAAAAAUUAUUAUCUGUAACCUUUCCUAUGUUGAUUACUUGUUCACUCUUUGUGAUUUAAGGCUCUUAUAUUAGUGUUGGGCCGGUACUGGCAGCGCACCUAUGCUAUUAGUUUGAUUGGCUGAUGAUUUUUUUCAGGCUUAUUUCGAAGUUGAAUAUAUUUCCUUGAACGAGCAUCUUGAGUUCUUGACAUGGCUUUGGCUAUUGUUUACCUUCCCUGCGGAAGAAGAAUCAUAUGCUUCAGCAAGCCAGACUUUAUUGUAGAUCAGUUCAUCUUGCCAAUGUUUCUAUCAUAUACUCCCUCCGUUCCUAAAUAUAAGUCUUUUUAGAUAUUUAAAAUGGACUAUAACAAACGGAUGUAUGUAGACAUAUUUUAGAGUGUAGAUUCACUCAUUUCGCUCCAUAUGUAGUCACUUGUUGGAAUCUCUAAAAAGACUUAUAUUUAGGAAUGGAGGGAGUAUAUUUAUAUGCUCCAGUUCUUCAAGACUUGCAUUGAUUUCUUCUCCAGAAAUUUGUGUGCUCUUGCUCCUGCAUGAAGGAUUGAUGGAUUUUGCUGCUCUUGGCUUGAUAAAAUUUAGCAUUUCUAGGUUUUCUGUUUAGUUUUUCAUGAUACAGUCUCACUAUGUAAUUGGUAAUUAGAAUUUAGAAUCAUAUUCAGUCUAUACAUAUUUAAGGAGAUAUCCAGUUCCAUGAAUGGCGUAGAAUUUUCGGUCAACCACAAGGAUUUCUCAAAAAUGUGAUGUUCAAAUUUGAAGAGUUAAAUUCUUUGCAAGAGCAGAAGGUGCUAGCCUCGGAAGAGGAUAUAAUGUGAUAAAUUUGUGUUAACAUUUUUUGCAGCUUCACUUCCCAUUAGUGUGCAAUUAUUGCUUUUUUCAUGUGGCUAUAUAUUUACGAUAAUUUCUA